CGGGUCAACAUCAUCACCAUCACCAUCUGAAUCUAGAUCAGUAAAUGGUGUGGCAGUCUCAGAAGGGGGUCUAGAAGAUGAGGAAGGUAUAGAAGUAGGGUCAGGGGGAGGAAGAGGCUCUUCUGUAGGGGUAGGAGGAGAAGGGUGUACAGUAUGAGUAGGGGGAGGGUGUACUGUAUGAGUAGGGGGAGGGUGUACUGCAUGAGUGGGAGGAGGAGGUACUGCAGGGGUAGGAGGAGGAGGGUGUACUGCAGGGGUAGGAGGAGGAGGGUGUACUGUAUGAGUAGGGGGAGGGUGUACUGCAGGGGUAGGAGGAGGAGGGUGUACUGUAUGAGUAGGGGGAGGGUGUACUACAGGAGUAGGGGAAGGGUGUACUGCAGGAGUAAGGGUAGGUAGUGUAUCACGCACCCUAAGUACAUACUUUGCGGUCCGUUGCCUUUUUUUAGGCUUGGCUACCCCCUUUCCUUUAUCAGGACGGUCUUUACCUUCUCCUGCCAUUA
rnacentral:lncRNA from 1 species